GCUAUGAUGACGAGUUUGUGGAGAGCCUAAGGGUGCAAUCGACUCACAGACUUGUCAGGGGAUCAGUGGGACUCUGUCAGGAGAGAUGCCCCUCUAACCGCUUCGCUCUCAAGAACAACACGUGUCUUUGCCUGGAAAAUGUUCCCCAGAAUAAUGGUCACCCUCCCUCUCUCUGCAAUUGGUACUGUCCUUCUGAAGAUGAUAGUCACGUGAACGACUGCGGAGGAAGCGACACCUAUAACGUCUACAGAGUAACACCAAACAAUAACUUACGCAGUGAGAGGACAGUAAACUGUGUAGUGUUGGGAUGUUAUGAGCAGUAUGCACAGAUUCACACCAACAACUGUACUGAGGACCUGGGUCGCAUCUGCCAAUCAGAAGAGAGUACCAAUAAAACCCUGGCCCCAGAUGAGGAUGACUUUAAGUCUUGGAGCGAGACAUACACUGAGUGUAGAGCGGAGGGGAGCUAC